rnacentral:rRNA from 1 species
CCUACGGGUGACAGCAGUGAGGAAUAUUGGUCAAUGGACGCAAGUCUGAACCAGCCAUGCCGCGUGCAGGAUGACGGCUCUAUGAGUUGUAAACUGCUUUUGUACGAGGGUAAACCCCGAUACGUGUAUCGGGUUGAAAGUAUCGUACGAAUAAGGAUCGGCUAACUCCGUGCCAGCAGCCGCGGUAAUACGGAGGAUGCGAGCGUUAUCCGGAUUUAUUGGGUUUAAAGGGUGCGUAGGCGGACAGUCAAGUCAGCGGUAAAAAUGCGGUGCUCAACGCCGUACAGCCGUUGAAACUGGCAGUCUUGAGUGGGCGAGAAGUAUGCGGAAUGCGUGGUGUAGCGGUGAAAUGCAUAGAUAUCACGCAGAACUCCGAUUGCGAAGGCAGCAUACCGGCGCCCUACUGACGCUGAGGCACGAAAGCGUGGGUAUCGAACAGGAUUAGAUACCCUUGUAGUC